UACGUAGGGUGCAAGCGUUGUCCGGAAUUAUUGGGCGUAAAGAGCUCGUAGCGGCUUGGCAAGUCGGGUGUGAACCUCCAGGCUCAACCUGGAGACGCCACUCGAUACUGCUAUGGCUAGAGUCCGGUAGGGGACCACGGAAUUCCUGGUGUAGCGGUGAAAUGCGCAGAUAUCAGGAGGAACACCGGUGGCGAAGGCGGCGUCCUGGACCAACACUGACACUGAUGAGCGAAAGCCAGGGGAGCAAACGGG
rnacentral:rRNA from 1 species